rnacentral:rRNA from 1 species
UAGGGAAUCUUCGGCAAUGGACGAAAGUCUGACCGAGCAACGCCGCGUGAGUGAAGAAGGUUUUCGGAUCGUAAAACUCUGUUGUUAGAGAAGAACAAGGACGUUAGUAACUGAACGUCCCCUGACGGUAUCUAACCAGAAAGCCACGGCUAACUACGUGCCAGCAGCCGCGGUAAUACGUAGGUGGCAAGCGUUGUCCGGAUUUAUUGGGCGUAAAGCGAGCGCAGGCGGUUUCUUAAGUCUGAUGUGAAAGCCCCCGGCUCAACCGGGGAGGGUGAUUGGAAACUGGGAGACUUGAGUGCAGAAGAGGAGAGUGGAAUUCCAUGUGUAGCGGUGAAAUGCGUAGAUAUAUGGAGGAACACGAGUGGCGAAGGCGGCUCUCUGGUCUGUAACUGACGCUGAGGCUAGAAAGCGUGGGGAGCAAACAGG